rnacentral:lncRNA from 1 species
GAAAUAGGUGCUUGAACUAAAACUCUCGCAUUAGCUGGAUCAGUUUAUCGAAAAGGUGUUUAAACUGACUACGACAAAGGCUACUUCAACCAAAAUAAGGGCGAUCCCAAUUCAAAUAGAAAGAAGUACUUCACCAUGUCCCUACAAAUUGCAAAAACAGCGGUGGAGCAUCUACUUUAGGGGAUCCAAUCAACUAGCCAAAUAUGAUUUACUACUCAUGUUACCAAUACGAUACAGUGAUUUCUUUCAAUCCAUAUCAUAAAUCCAAAUGAAAAAGUUUGUUCUCAUCGGCAAUCGAGUCAAAACUAUGUCGAAGUCAUUGGAAUCUAUCGUUUGAUUUUAGAUACUGAACGUCGUUUAGAUUUAUUUCAAACUCUUUAUGUAUCUUUUAUUUCUCGCAAUUUAAU